GUCUACGGCCAUGCCGCCCUGAGCGAGCUCGAGCCCGGCCGAUCUCGGAAGCUAAGCAGGGUCAGGCCUGGUUAGUACUUGGAUGGGAGACCGCCAGGGACUAUCCGGUGCCGUAGGCG
rnacentral:rRNA from 1 species